GCCUGGGUGGCUCAGUCGGUUGAGCGUCCGACUUCAGCUCAGGUCAUGAUCUCAUGGUUUGUGGGUUCAAGCCCCACAUCGGGCU
rnacentral:tRNA from 1 species